AUCUGAAUUUAAAUAAUGUUUUGUGAAAUAUAUUUGGUUUCCGGACUGUGUAAACUUUGAGAAUUUUAAUUUUUUUUAAAAGAAAUGUGAAAUACUGACACUGAGAUGCGAGGCAACAAGAAGAAGAACAUAAUAGAAAAUAAAAAUUCAUCGAUUAUAGUAAGAAAAUCGUGCUCAUUCCAUUACUCAAACUUAUCCACUCUUUAACUUACUACAUAAGACCUUCUUUCGAGCUGGACGAAUUCACUAAAAUAUAUAUCCUCAAGUCUGUCAUUUUUUAAUAUACCAAAAUUCCUUAUCUGUCAGUUGUUAAACUUGUGGACAAAAUAUAAAAGAAAAAUCCAAAUGGAACUUUAUCUGCAGGAAUAUCAUCCGACGGAUCCUCAACUACAAGAUAAUUAAUUCAAUUGAUAAACUGGCCCUAAAUUGAAUUUUCAGAAUAACAUGAGAUUUAAAAAGAAUUAAAUUAAAUCCAUCGUGGCUUUUAACUAGACACUUAGACCAUAAUAUUAUUGAAAUAGAAGAAGAACGUUUCUCCACGAUCUGUAUAUAUUACAAUUUCUGUUCAAAUAACUAGUAAAUUAAUUCUCUAAAUGAUAAAAUCAAGACCGAAAAGAUAUGGAGCAACAAGUAAUUAAGGAAGAAAUCGAGAUUAACGAUGAUUUUAUUUGUAAUAUGAAUGUUAAACAAGAAUUGAGUGAUGAAAUGCCUAGUACUGAUUUUCAAAAUGUAGAUAAAAUUAGUAUGCAUCCUGUUAAACAAGAAAUAAGUGACGAUCUAAACACAGUUCUGGUAUUUGAUAAAUCUAUGAUCGUCGCAAAAACAGAAGAAUAUACUGAUUUGGUUGAUAAACCUAAAAUUCCAAAGAAAAUGGUACAUUUUAGAAUAAAACCAGAUGGAAAACAUCUGAUUCAGAAUAUGAUCGGUGGGAUUAUAAUCUGUGAUUUGUGUGGAAAAUUAUAUACGAAACAAAUCGAAUUCCUUUGGCACUUUUCUGCAAGACAUUGUAUGAAACAGAAGUUUUACCAGAAUAAUAAAUGUAAAAAAAGGGAAACAACAGAUCCUGCUGCUAACAGAAAUCUUAACGAGAUUGAGAAAAACGAAAUACCUCAACUUUAUUUGAAAGAAGAAGAACAUAUUAAAUUUGCUGAUAAUUUUAAUUCAAGUUUAAAUGAAUGCCAGACAUUGGGAAAAAAUGAUAUUAAUGGGGAUUUGUCUGCCUGCAAUGAAAGAAAGCCAUUCAAAUGUGACAUUUGUUUGAAAACUUUUUCACAGAAGUAUAAGAUGAAAAUACAUUCACGUAUACAUACAGGGGAAAAGAAAUUUAAAUGUGAGAUUUGUUCGAAAACUUUUUCACAUAAAGUUAGUUUAAAUUCACACAUGUGUAAUCACACAGGUGAAAAACCAUUCAGAUGUGACAUUUGCUCAAAAACCUUUUCACAAAAAUACAGUAUGAAAAGACAUUUGUUGCUUCAUACAGGAGAAAAGCCAUACAAAUGUGAGAUUUGCUCAAAAUCUUUUUCAGAAAAAUAUUAUUUUACCCUACAUUUCCGUUGUCAUAGUAGAGAAAAACCAUACAAAUUUGAAAGUGCUUUGACUCGUUUGCACAGUCGCACAAGAGAAAAUUCAUUUAAAUGUGAUAUUUGUUCGAAAACUUUUUCAUACAAAUAUAGUUUGAAACGACAUUUAAUUAAUCAUUUAGAAGAAAAGCCUUUUAUGUGUAACGCUUUAGGCGACUGCGAUGCUCUCCCACUACACGCCCCGCCAUUGUUGACAUUCAGGCGUCAGUCGGCGUUGUGCUACAGCCACGUAAAAAUGUCCGCCAUUAUUGAUGCUCCCGCCAAGUGUGAAUUGCGAAGUGUGAUUCGUUUUCUACAGGUUGAAGGCCAUAGUGCUGCAGAAAUCCAUCAGAGAAUGAGUCGUGUGUAUGGGGAAAACUUCAUGAGUGAUGGUGUUGUGCGUGAAUGGUGUCGAAAGUUUAAAGAUGGCCGUAAAGAUGUGCAUGAUGAAGGGGGCCAAGGACGCAAAUCUGUCGUUUCAAAUCACCUGGUUCAACAAGUUGACAGAAUGGAUAAAGCAAAUCGCAGAUUCACCAUCACUGCUUCGCCUACGGAAUUUCCAGAUGUUCCAAGGUCUGUUUUGUACUCUACUUAAAUUCAUUGGCAGCAACUUUCUUUGAAAAUGUUAUUGAAAGCUUGUCUACAGAUAUGACAAAUGUCUUAAUCUAUUCUGUGAUUAUGUCAAAAAGUAACCGUAAGUGUACCAAUCUUUUGGUUACUCUUAUAUGAACUGGUCUUUUAUUUAUAGCCCAUUGAAGGUUAAAAAAAACGGCCCUCGUACAUUUAUAUGGUCAAAAAUGCGUUUACAACAAAUAAAUUAGUUUGUUAAGUAUCAAUGAAUUGUUAAGGGUAUUCGCUGUUAUUUUAUAAAUAAAUCAGUCAGUAAGAUUUACCAUUUGUAUAAAUUCACCCCACCGCUUAAAAACCGUUUAAGUAAAUAAGAAAUUUAAUAUAGGGUAGAGAUGCCUAGUGCGUUUUUGUCAGUUUCUAACGUCGACAAAUAUUAGACCCUUGGAAUUUUUUUUCCUUUAUUGUUCAUUACUUCUCUGGAUCCCCCAAUCAAUGCUGAUUGGUUUUUGGUUCAGGCAUCAUCCUUUCUGUUGCGAAAUUAACUAGAAAACACUUAUACCGGAAGCACUUGCAAUUCUCACUAAUCUUAUCACUUGAGGUCCGUAGUUUUUUCAUCACGUCCUUCAUUCUUCCAGGCUUGUUCCUUUUUUUACAUUACCUUGUUCACUAGUCCCAUCUACACUCUUCGUUUCACUAAAAUCACUCAACAUGCUGAAAUUUAAAUAUUAAAAGAGGUUAGGUUGAGAUUAUACAUCUGUCCAACACAGUAACGAGAGAAAACUCAGCUGAUAGUGAAGGGGAGAGAAAUGGAAUUUGAUUACAUUUGCCCGUAGUGCAUGGACUAUGAUCGUUCUUCCUCGUUAGCUCCAAUCAAAAUUCAAUCUUGCCCUAAAUCGAAUUUUAAGAAUAACAUUAAUUAAAUUGAGAUUCAAAAAGAAUUAAAUUAGAUCAAUGGUUAUCAAAUGGUGGCUUUCAACUAAACAGACCAUAUUAUAGAAAUAGAAGAAGAAUGUUUCUCCACGAUCAGUAUACAUUACAAUUUUUGUUCAAAUAACUUUUAUUUACUUCUCUAUUUGAUAAAAUCAAGACCGAAAGGAUAUGGAGCAGACAGUGAUUAAGGAUGAAAUCGAGAUUCACGAUGAUUUUAUUUGGAAUAUGAAUGUUAAACAAGAAAUAAGUGACGAUCUAGUAUUUGAAGAAUAUAUGAUUGCCGCAAAACCAGGAGAAUGUACUAAUUUGGUUGAUAAACCGAAAAUUCCAAAGAAAUUGGUACAUUUUAGAAUAAAACCAGAUAAAAAACAUCUGAUUCAGAAUACAAUUAGUGGGGUUAUAAUCUGUGAGUUGUGUGGAAAAUUAUAUACGAAACAAACCGAAUUCCUUUGGCACUUUUCUACAAGACAUUGUAUGAAACAGAAGUUUUACCAAAAAAAUAACUUUUGUGAAAGAAGUUCAACAACAAACACUGCUGUUAACAGAAAUCUUGACAAGAUUGUUAAAAAUGAAAUAGUUCAGCCUUAUUUGAAAAUGCAAGAAGAUGUUAAAUUUGCCGAUAAUUUUAAUUUAAGUUUAAAUGAAUUCCAGACAUUGGAAAAAAUUGAUAUUAAUGUAGAUAUGUCUGCUCGCAAUGGACAAAAGCCUUUCAAAUGUGAAAUUUGUUUAAAAACAUUUUCGCAGAAAAGUAAUUUGAAUAGACAUUCUCUUAGACAUACAGAAGUAGAGCCAUUCAAGUGUGAAAUUUGUUUAAAAACGUUUUCACAGAAGUAUUAUAUGAAAAUACAUUUGCGUAUACAUACAGGGGAAAAGAAAUUUAAAUGUGAGAUUUGUUUGAAAACUUUUUCACAUAAAGUUAGUUUAAAUUCACACAGGUGUAAUCAUACAGGUGAAAAACCAUUCAAAUGUGACAUUUGCUCAAAAACCCUUUCACAGAAAUACAGCAUGAAAAGACACUUGUUGCUUCAUACAGGAGAAAAGCCAUUUAAAUGUGAUGUUUGUUCAAAAUCUUUUUCGGAAAAAUAUGAUUAUAUUAUACAUUAUCGUAAUCAUAAUAGAGAAAAGCCAUACAAAUGUGAAAGUGCUUUGGGGACCCAUUUGCACAGUCAUGCAAGAGAAAAGCCAUUCAAGUGUGAAAUUUGUUUGAAAACUUUUUCACAUAAAUAUAGUAUGAAAAUACAUUUGUUGAGUCACUCAAAUGAAAAGCCAUUUAAGUGUAACAUUUGUAUGAAAACUUUUUCACAAAAAUAUCAUUUCAAUAUUCAUUUGCAGAGCCACUUAGGAGAAAAGCCGUUCAAAUGUGACAUUUGUCUAAAAACUUUUUCACAAAAUAGUUCUUUGAAUGUACAUUUAUGUGGUCAUACAGGUGAAAAACCAUUCAAAUGUGACAUUUGCUCAAAAACCUUUACACAAAAAUACAGUUUGAAAAGACAUUUGCUUCUUCAUACAGGAUAAAAGCCAUUCAAAUGUGAUGUUUGCUUGAACAGUGUAUAUAAACGAAUCUCUACCACCCAUAGUAGUCAGUAAAACUUUUAUGUCGUAGUGAACACAUCAUCAUAAUUAAAAGUAAACCAAACGGUGAAUUUGAAUAAAUUAGUGUGUCAAGUAUUAGUGAAUAGUUAGUGUAUUCAGUAUUCAGUGUUAUUUUAUAAAUAAAUCAGUCGGUAAGA